CCUACGGGCGGCAGCAGUAGGGAAUAUUGCUCAAUGGGGGAAACCCUGAAGCAGCAACGCCGCGGGGAGGCUGAAGGUUUUAGGAUUGUAAACUCCUUUUGUGAGAGAAGAUAAUGACGGUAUCUCACGAAUAAGCACCGGCUAACUCCGUCCCAGCAGCCGCGGUAAUACGGAGGGUGCAAGCGUUACACGGAAUCACUGGGCGUAAAGAGUGCGCAGGCGGGCUUGUAGGUCAGAUGUGAAAUCCUGUAGCUUAACUACAGAACUGCAGUUGAAACUAUGAGUCUAGAGUGUGGGAGAGGUAGGUGGGAUUCUUGGUGUAGGGGUAAAAUCCGUAGAUAUCAAGAGGAAUACUCAUUGCGAAGGCAGCAUACCGGCGCCCAACUGACGCUGAAGCACGAAAGCGUGGGUAUCGAACAGGAUUAGAUACCCCAGUAGUC
rnacentral:rRNA from 1 species